UGGCUGGGGAUGGUCAGGCAGUCCUGGCACUUUAAGGUGGUGGCUUUCUGAUGACGUCAGUUCCGAGUCUGAUACAUAGGGUUAUUGUUCAGGAGUGGCACCUACCCUGUAGUAGUAGUAGUAGUAGUAGUAGUAGUUUUUACAUAUUAGCACUAAGAAUUAUAAUCACUUAUUCUAUGAUUUCAAAGAAGAAUCUACUUGUCAUGAAAAAAUUAUGUUUGAUUAAACUAUGGAAAAGAGGAAUCAUAGUUAAACAAAAGUAUGUCUGCUGCAUUAUCCAAUUAUAAACGCAUCUGCUUCUAAUUUAUAUUUACUAUGCUGAUGAUUAGUACUGCCACAUCUGUUAUACUCUUAUCUUUGCUGUCAUGUCAUCUGAUAAAUGUCAGCGUGACACUGUUUUCUCCUAAGGGAUAUCGGUCAGACAGUUUGAAGGACUGAUGUGAAAUUGU